rnacentral:lncRNA from 1 species
CGUUGGAAGAAAACAAAAAAUUCAAAUAAGAAUUACAAGAAACUAAAAUAAAGUGAAAAGAUAGCAUCAAGAGACUCAAAAGUCUCAACAACCUCUAAGAUAUUUUCUUCAUCCACGGAUCUCUAUAAAGUUUGCCUUUAAUUAUAGCCAGUGACAAAAAGAAGUACUACAUACAUAGAGAUAAAGAGGGACAUUUGCAUUUAACUUACAUCUUUAAUUCGACAAGAGAACAUACAAAAAAAAGAGAGAACACCUUUCUUCUUUAGCUAUUCGAAUCCGUUAUUUAUCUCAGGGUUAUAUUAUGGUCAUGGAUCUCUUCUUUAGUAAUUUAGUGGUUAUCAGUUUCGAACAAUUUUUUUUUCUUUUCUGCACCCAGUUUUGAACAAUUUAUAUUUGAGAAAAUGGCAAAAGGCAAAAUGAUACUAAAAAUAUAUUAAUGGGGAAUGUUACAGGUAUCUGGAAACACUGAAAACGAAUUCAUCAUGCCUGUAACAUCAAAGACACCUUAGUUUUCUUGUCACUAUUGCUAAUAAAGAGUCCACUUGACUAAUAGUAACAAACAUGUUUUCAGUUUUCUUUCUUUCCAACCUUUUUAAGUUUUAAUCGCAGUUAAUCAUUUGUAUUGGUAAUUUCUCAAAUUAAUCUACUAACACAAAAUUAUAUAAUAUCUUUAAACAAUAAAUACAAAAUUCUAUUAAUAUUUUAUUGGUAUAUAUCUCAAGAACAUGAAACACUCGCAUCAAAAUAUUUCAUUAAAAAAAUUUAGUGUGCAUUCUAAAAUGUUU